rnacentral:rRNA from 1 species
GGGGGGGGGGGGGGGGGGGGUUCGCGCAUGCAAGUCGAGCGGUGAGGCGCCUUCCGUGUGGGGGGGUGGGGAGGGGUGGCGGACGGGUGAGUAACACGUGCGUAACCUGCCCCCUUCUUCUGGAUAACCGCAUGCAAGUGUGGCUAAUACGGGAUAUUCUGGGUCUGUCGCAUGAUGGGUCUGGGAAAGAUAGUGUUUCGGUGGGGGAUGGGGUCGCGUCUUAUCAGCGUGUUGGUGGUGUGAUGGCCUCCCCCGGCGGUGACUGUUAGCAGGCCUGAGGGGGUGGACGGCCACGCGGGGGCUGAGACACGGUCGGGACUCGUACGGGGGCCAGCAGUGGGGAAUAUUGCACAAUGGGCGUAAGGCUGAUGCAGCGGCGCCGCGUGAGGGAUGGAGGCCUUCGGGUUGUGAACCUCUUUCGCCAGUGAAGCAGGCCUGCCUCGUUUGUGGGUGGGUUGACGGUAGCUGGAUAAGAAGCGCCGGCUAACUACGUG